CUAUGAUAUGACAUCAUAGGUCACUCCUUGACCGAGAUUAAAACAGAUUAAGUAUUAGUAAACACACACACACACACAGCCUACACAUACAUACACACACGCCUCCUGCACAAUUACCUUUUAUUUGCAUGACAAACAUUUACAUUAUUAAUGACACCAGAAAUGAAGGUAACAAAAUAUGUUUUUGCUGCUGAGCAACCUACCCAUUUCGCAAUGCCUUUUGCUUUUGCGCAUUGACGUUGUAUGACCAAUAUUCUCCACUUUACAUUUAAACUUUAGACAAUUAAAUCAUAUGCAGAAUGUAUUAGUUUUACUGUCACAACAUUAGUUUUAGUGUCACAACACAGCACUGGUGGGAGAUAUUUGAAGUAGCCAGUUGUUGCUGGAGAGAGCGAGGGAGAAGGAGCGAGUCAGAGCGCACGACGAGACGUGGCCGGUAGCAGUCAGUCAACGAGGGUAAUAUCCCGGUGCGAGCCAGCACACGGGCAUACAGAGCGAGAGGUGGGCACCCGUCCCGGACACUUUACAGUAGGCUGGUUACCUCCUGUUACAAAUUCAUAUAUGAAGAAAAGCAAUCAGGUGGUCCUGAAUGGAAAAUUGCUGAAUUUAUUUACAACUACAAAAAGGCGAAUAAAACGAACAAGACGAGCAGAGAGGAGUAGGACAAGAGAGAGAAGGGAAUGGGCUGGCUGGAAGCAUAAAGAGAGAGUACUGGUGAGACAGAUGGUGGUGAGGCUGAGGCAGGCUGUGAUGCAUGGAGGAGGAGGCAGAGGAGACACAGAGAGAGAGGAAGCCAGCAGAGAGAAAGGUUCCAUGACUUUAUGGAGACAUUUUCAUUUGUAA
rnacentral:lncRNA from 1 species